CCCUUAGAUGUUCUGGGCCGCACACGCGCUACACUGAAGGAGGCAGCGUGUACUCCUGGAUCGAAAGAUUUGGGUAACCCGCGAAUCUCCUUCGUGCUAGGGAUUGAGGUUUGCAAUUAUCCUUCAUGAACGAGGAAUUCCCAGUAAGUGCAAGUCAUAAGCUUGCGCUGACUACGUCCCUGCCCUUUGUACACACCGCCCGUCGCUACUACCGAGUGGGUGAUCCGGUGAACUAUUCGGACUCCGGUUAUUCCAGCAUUUGGUUUUGCUGGGGAAAGUUUCGUGAACCUUAUCACUUGGAGGAAGGAGAAGUCGUAACA
rnacentral:rRNA from 1 species